GGAGAGGAGAGAUGUUUCUCUGAAUUGGAAGGAGCUGGGAAAGCAGAACUGUCACAAACGGUGGCACUAAAUUAGGUUUGAAGCUUUCCUCCUGAUUUCUGUUUCAUGGUCCAGUUCAUGUCCCAGCCUUUCCAUGAAGCUCUUAAAGGAGAUCAUAGCUUAACUUUCCUACGCAGGCAAGAUGUCUCGACAUCUUGCACAGGGAUAUUCACACAAGUAGAGAGGCUGCGAGAUGUCCACCAAGAGGACAGGAUCAGGCCUCUGACCGGGAGGUCGGCGUCUCUUCUCCUGGUUUACAGGUGAACCACAAAUAUCAAGCCAUUUUCCAAUGAAGAUGUAUCUGUCCCAGAGUUGAACGUGCACCUGGAGCCAGAGGACUCUAAGGAGCUGGUUUUGAAGAAGCUUU
rnacentral:lncRNA from 1 species